CCCCACAGGAAUUCCACAUAGCCCACACCCUGACUGGUUAUUCCUCAGGUGAAGCCAGGAGCCUGCUGCCUGCCCACAAAGCUUCAGAAUUCUGAUUUCUUGCUGCCUCUUCGCUCAAACCCGUUGUGCAAGGAAUUAAUCCAAGUAUGGAUUAGUGCUGGAUCCUGCAGAGCUCUGCCACAGUCCUCUACACUUUGAAAUGAAUUAAGAGCUUUAAGAUUGAAUUUGUGGAUGUGAAAAAUCAGAAAAAGAUGUAAAUGCUGUUUUCCUGAGGCCAAGGGAGCUCUGCAUCAAAGUGAAAAGCUACGCCAAGACUUGUUGCUCGAUGAUGGAAAGUGCUUCAUGGUGCUUGAGCCAGCAGAAUUAUCCCAGCCUGCACCCCUGCAGUCAGA
rnacentral:lncRNA from 1 species